AGAGUUUGAUCCUGGCUCAGAAUGAACGUUGGCGGCGUGGAUUAGGCAUGCAAGUCGUGCGACAGGCCCGCAAGGGCGCUGAGCGGCGAAAGGGAGAGUAACGCGUAGGUUAUCUACCCUCAGGACCGGGAUAGCUACGGGAAACUGUAGGUAAUACCGGAUGAUGUCUCCGGACUAAAGGUGUGAUUCCGCCUGUGGAGGAGCCUGCGUCCUAUUAGCUAGUUGGUGGGGUAACGGCCUACCAAGGCUGAGAUGGGUACGGGGUAUGAGAGUAUGCCCCCGCUCACUGGGACUGAGACACUGCCCAGACACCUACGGGUGGCUGCAGUCGAGGAUCUUCGGCAAUGGGCGCAAGCCUGACCGAGCGACGCCGCGUGUGGGAUGAAGGCCUUCGGGUUGUAAACCACUGUCAGUGGGGAGGAAAUGCUGUAGGGUUCUCCCUAUGGUUUGACCUAUCCGCAGAGGAAGUACGGGCUAAGUUCGUGCCAGCAGCCGCGGUAAGACGAACCGUACAAACGUUAUUCGGAAUCACUGGGCUUAAAGGGUGCGUAGGCUGUCUUGUAAGUUGGGUGUGAAAGCCCUCGGCUUAACCGAGGAAUUGCGCUCAAUACUGCAGGACUUGAGGAAGACAGAGGUGAGCGGAACUUAGGGUGGAGCGGUGAAAUGCGUUGAUAUCCUAAGGAACACCUGGGGCGAAAGCGGCUCACUGGGUCUUUUCUGACGCUGAUGCACGAAAGCUAGGGUAGCGAACGGGAUUAGAUACCCCGGUAGUCCUAGCCGUAAACGAUGAGCACUAGAUCGAAAGGGUCCUCCAUAGCCUUUUGGUCGUAGCGAAAGUGUUAAGUGCUCCGCCUGGGGAGUAUGGUCGCAAGGCUGAAACUCAAAAGAAUUGACGGGGCUCACACAAGCGGUGGAGGAUGUGGCUUAAUUCGAGGCUACGCGAAGAACCUUAUCCUAGUCUGACAUGCA
rnacentral:rRNA from 1 species